AUUAGCAGUCACGGAAGGGGUCUUGGACACCAGCCAACCCAGCAGUUCAUUCUACAGUACAGAGCCCAGAAGUGAAUUCCCUAGGGUUUCACACGCACAGGGUGGGUACAACAGUCACGAGAGCUGGAAUGUGCCAUCGGAUCUCAAUAGUCUGUUUUACUACGUAACCACAGAAUUCCUUCUCCUUUCUCUCCCAGUCUCUCCAUGAACCCGGACCACUUUCUUGACUCCAUUCUUCGGUGACCACAGUUAUUCUAACUUUGUUGCUCUUUCAGCCUCAAGUGGGUUUCUGGCAUUCCUAGUUCCUAAUUCAGUUAUGCAAGACCUCAGCAUAAUUUAACCAACAUGAGUUAGCGGGGGUGAGAAACUAUGUAGACACUUUCAUCAAUAUCAGCUUUUUUUUUUAAUAGCCUCAUAUGACGUUUUUACAUGCUCUCCCCAAACUCAGUGUCCUAGGCUAAUUAUCAUUCCUUUUGGAAAGAGCCUCCUGUGCUGAACACACUUCUUCCUCAGAGUUUUCCUGUGGCUCGUGAUGGGUUAGAACUCUUUCUGGUCAAAAGCAAGUGCAAUCUGGUAUUCUUCCCAUGAACUGAGUAGGCUCCAUCUGAACAAAUUGAUUCAUUAAUGGGGAAAGAUACAAAUAUCCAGUUAUAUAUACAGUGACCAAGGAAAAGCAUGGGGUGAGCUCUCAACUUGUACUAGGUCUUCGAAUUUCUCAAGGAAGACAAGGGUGGUGCCCAGGAGAGGGAGCAGGGACUCUGAUUCGCUUUUGCAAAUAUUUUCCUUUCCUAUCUCUACUCUUUGUCAGUCUCUCUGGAGUCACCAGGCCGACAAGAACUGGACAGUUUCUUUGAGCAAAUCAUUUUUGCCUAGAAAUCCUGCAGGACAGCUACAUCUCUAACGAUAUCUCAGACUACAAAGAUCUGAAUUGCAGCAAUGUCUCCCUGGCUUCUUAUGAAAUCUCUUCCGCUGGCUUCGCAACGGGUACUCAUGCCAUAAGAGGGCAAAUCCACUCUGUUUCUUACACCUACCUGAAGUGGAUAGCUUACUCCAGAAAUGACCAUGUCCCUACCCUGGAUUUGCCAGGUGCUGACAGCUGUUAGUCAGACAUGUCAGUAUCAUACUGUUUCCCUGGAACCAGGCAGUCUCAUUGAGAAAUCCUUGUGCACCCUUCUCUGCCAACCUCCCACCUACCCCAGCAUCGCUGCCACCAAUGCUAACACCCUGGCAUCCUCUUCUUGGGCACCAGCACUCAGGCCGAGACCUGCUUCCUGACAAAGGUGUUUCCUUCCUAUCUGGCACAUCCCAGGCAGAAAUCACGUUUCAUAAUGUCUCUCUCCUUUUGUUCCCGGAUGGCUCCUUGCAGCCCAUGUCCCUGUUAGCACACCUGGACCAGAGCUGGCUCCCAGAACAACGGGAGAGACUUGCCAGCAAACUUGCCUAGGAUGUCUCUGCAGGAGGAGUCUUGGGACUGGGGCCUGUUUAGAAAUACCAGAGAUAAUGUGGGAAAAGAAAUGCCAAUGCCUCCUAUCCCAACAAGCCAGAAAACCGUGC
ensembl:lncRNA